rnacentral:misc_RNA from 1 species
GAUGAAGAACGCAGCGAAAUGCGAUAAGUAAUGUGAAUUGCAGAAUUCAGUGAAUCAUCGAAUCUUUGAACGCACAUUGCGCCCGCCAGUAUUCUGGCGGGCAUGCCUGUUCGAGCGUCAUUUCAACCCUCAAGACCCCUUCGGGGGACUUGGUGUUGGGGACCGGCACAGGGGCCUGCCUGCUUGUCUUGCAGCGCCCUCGCCGCCCCCGAAAUGAAUUGGCGGCCUCGUCGCGGCCUCCCCUGCGUAGUAGCACAAACCUCGCAACGGGAACGUGACGGCGGCCACUGCCGUAAAACGAUACUCAGUAACACUGGUUGACCUCGGAUCAGGUAGGAAUACCCGCUGAACUUAAGCAUAUCAAUAAGCGGAGGA